AUUUCGUAUAGUUGCUCCUCAUGCUACCAUUUUCCACAGCACACAAACAAAAAGCAUGCAUGUGAAGCUGUCAGCCAAUUUGAACACAACAAGAGCAAAAAUAUUAACAUCAUCACUGACCCAAAAUAAAAGAGAGUAUGGGGAGAGAGUCUUGGGAGACCGAGAGCAAUAAAUGAGAAGGAAAGAGUACAGAGUCUACAGACUACGACUAGAAGAAAGAAAAGAAAGAGAUUAUGUGGUCAUGUUAUGAUGUGGUUGAGUCCAUACUAAAUGUAUGGACUCAAUGAAAUAACCAAUUAGAAUUUAACUUUUAAUAAAGCUAUGCGGUUUUGGUUCGGUUUUAGAUGGCAAGAAUUGCAACCAAACCGUUUUUCCUUCCUUCAGUUUGGUUUCAAACCGAAACCAUUUUGAAACUGCAAAAUCAAACCGUUCGGUACGGUUCGAUUUAGUUCGU
rnacentral:lncRNA from 1 species